AGAGUUUGAUCCUGGCUCAGGACGAACGCUGGCGGCGUGCUUAACACAUGCAAGUCGAACGGAGAUUAUUAAUGAAGCUUGCGAUUUAAUAAUCUUAGUGGCGGACGGGUGAGUAACGCGUGGGCAACCUACCCAUAAGCGGGGGAUAACAGUUGGAAACGACUGCUAAUACCGCAUAAGCUAUUAAGGUCGCAUGACCUAAAUAGUAAAGGUGGCAUUUAAAGAUGCUAUCACUUAUGGAUGGGCCCGCGUCUGAUUAGCUAGUUGGUAGGGUAGCGGCCUACCAAGGCAACGAUCAGUAGCCGGCCUGAGAGGGUGGACGGCCACACUGGGACUGAGAACGGCCCAGACUCCUACGGGAGGCAGCAGUGGGGAAUAUUGCGCAAUGGGGGAAACCCUGACGCAGCGACGCCGCGUGAGCGAAGAAGGCCUUCGGGUUGUAAAGCUCUGUUGUAAGGGACGAAAGAUCAAGGGAGUAACUGCCCUUGAAGUGACGGUACCUUACCAGCAAGCCCCGGCUAACUACGUGCCAGCCGCCGCGGUAAUAC
rnacentral:rRNA from 1 species